rnacentral:tRNA from 1 species
GUAAAAUCAAUAUAAUAUGCGCGCAUUCGCAUUCCGUCGCAUGUUCUCGCAUGUGCGAUUUCCUAGACUACGAAUCUGGGGGUCAGGAGUUCGAAUCUCUUCGGGUGCGCCA